CCUACGGGGGGCAGCAGUAGGGAAUCUUUCACAAUGGGCGAAAGCCUGAUGGAGCAACGCCGCGUGCAGGAUGAAGGCCUUCGGGUUGUAAACUGCUUUUAUCAGCGAGAAAUAUGAUGGUAACUUAUGAAUAAGGAUCGGCUAACUACGUGCCAGCAGCCGCGGUCAUACGUAGGAUCCGAGCAUUAUCCGGAGUGACUGGGUGUAAAGAGUUGCGUAGGUGGCAUAAUAAGUAGCUAGUGAAAUCUGGUGGCUCAACCAUUCAGACUAUUAGCUAAACUGUUAAGCUCGAGACCGUUAGAGGUAACUGGAAUUUCUAGUGUAGGAGUGAAAUCCGUAGAUAUUAGAAGGAACACCAAUAGCGUAGGCAGGUUGCUGGGACGGGUCUGACACUAAGGCACGAAAGCGUAGGGAGCAAACGGGAUUAGAUACCCGUGUAGUC
rnacentral:rRNA from 1 species